rnacentral:rRNA from 1 species
UACGUAGGGUGCGAGCGUUAAUCGGAAUUACUGGGCGUAAAGUGUGCGCAGGCGGCCGAGCAAGUCGAGUGUGAAAGCCCCGAGCUUAACUUGGGAACUGCGCUCGAAACUACUUGGCUAGAGUGUGGGCAGAGGGAGGUGGAAUUCCACGUGUAGCGGUGAAAUGCGUAGAGAUGUCGGAGGAAGCACCGAUGGCGAAGGCAGCCUCCUGGGCCAACACUGACGCUCAUGCCACG